rnacentral:misc_RNA from 1 species
UCGAGUGUUACAACUCCCAAACCCUUUGUGAACCUUACCCAUCGUUGCUUCGGCGGGACCGCCCCGGCGCCUUCGCGCGCCGGACGCAAGGCGCCCGCCGGGGGACAAGACUCUUGAUUUUUCAGUGGUAUUCUCUCUGAGUGGCACAAGCAAAAUAAAUCA